rnacentral:tRNA from 1 species
CCUUCGAUAGCUCAGUUGGUAGAGCGGUGGACUGUAGAAAUUUCAAAAAUGUGUAGAUAUCCAUAGGUCGCUGGUUCAAAUCCGGCUCGAAGGA